CAUGCAAGUCGAACGCGUCUUGGGGGCAACUCCAAGAUGAGUGGCGAACGGGUGAGUAACACGUGGGUAAUCUCCCCCCGAGUGAGGAAUAAGCCCGCGAAAGCGGGUCUAAUACUGCAUAACACCCCGGGGCAUAAGCUUCCGGGGUCAAAGCCGUAAGGCGCUUGGGGAUGAGCCUGCGUCCUAUUAGCUAGUUGGUAGGGUAACGGCCUACCAAGGUUAUGAUGGGUAGCCGGCCUGAGAGGGUGUUCGGCCACACUGGGACUGAGACACGGCCCAGACUCCUACGGGAGGCAGCAGUGGGGAAUCUUGCGCAAUGGGGGAAACCCUGACGCAGCAACGCCGCGUGGAGUGAUGAAGGCUUUCGGGUCGUAAAGCCCUGUCAGGUGGGAAGAAAUAUGCCAAUAUGAAUAAUAUUGACAUUGGACGG
rnacentral:rRNA from 1 species